AGUGAACGCUGGCGGUAGGCCUAACACAUGCAAGUCGAACGGCAGCACAAUAAGAGCUUGCUCUUACGGGUGGCGAGUGGCGGACGGGUGAGGAAUACAUCGGAAUCUACUUUUUCGUGGGGGAUAACGUAGGGAAACUUACGCUAAUACCGCAUACGACCUACGGGUGAAAGCAGGGGAUCUUCGGACCUUGCGCGAUUGAAUGAGCCGAUGUCGGAUUAGCUAGUUGGCGGGGUAAAGGCCCACCAAGGCGACGAUCCGUAGCUGGUCUGAGAGGAUGAUCAGCCACACUGGAACUGAGACACGGUCCAGACUCCUACGGGAGGCAGCAGUGGGGAAUAUUGGACAAUGGGCGCAAGCCUGAUCCAGCCAUACCGCGUGGGUGAAGAAGGCCUUCGGGUUGUAAAGCCCUUUUGUCGGGAAAGAAAAGCAGCAGGUUAAUACCCCGCUGUUCUGACGGUACCCAAAGAAUAAGCACCGGCUAACUUCGUG
rnacentral:rRNA from 1 species